rnacentral:tRNA from 1 species
GGCCAGUUAGCUCAGUCAGUUGAGCAUGGCGCUAACAAGGUUAAGGUCACGGGUUCGAUUCCCGUUCGGUCCC